rnacentral:rRNA from 1 species
CAGCAGCCGCGGGAAAACGUAGGUGGCAAGCGUUGUCCGGAAUUAUUGGGCGUAAAGGGCUCGCAGGCGGUUUCUUAAGUCUGAUGUGAAAGCCCCCGGCUCAACCGGGGAGGGUCAUUGGAAACUGGGAAACUUGAGUGCAGAAGAGGAGAGUGGAAUUCCACGUGUAGCGGUGAAAUGCGUAGAGAUGUGGAGGAACACCAGUGGCGAAAGCGGCUCACUGGACCAUUUCUGACGCUGAUGCACGAAAGCUAGGGGAGCAAACAGGAUUAGAGACCCCAGUAGUCCCUGUCUCUUAUAC